rnacentral:rRNA from 1 species
UACGUAGGGGGGCUAGCGUUGUCCGGAUUUAUUGGGCGUAAAGAGCGUGUAGGCGGCCAGGUAGGUCUGCUGUGAAAACUCGAGGCUCAACCCUCGAGACGUCGGCGGAAACCAUCUGGCUAGAGUCCGGAAGAGGAGAGUGGAAUCCUGGUGUAGCGGUGAAAUGCGUAGAUAUCCGGAGGAACACCGGUGGCGAAGGCGGCUUCCUGGACCGACACUGACGCUGAGGCGCGAAAAGCUAGGGGAGCAAACGGG